rnacentral:pre_miRNA from 1 species
CUAGUACUCCCUCCGUCCGAAAAUACUUGUCAUCAAAAUGAAUGAAAAUGGAUGUAUCUACAACUAAAAUACAUCUAGAUACAUCCAUUUCAAUGACGAGUAUUUCCAGACGGAGGGAGUAGAUA